AUUGAACGCUGGCGGCAUGCCUUACACAUGCAAGUCGAACGGUAACAGGGUAAGCUGACGAGUGGCGAACGGGUGAGUAAUGUAUCGGAACGUGCCCAGUCGCGGGGGAUAACUGCUCGAAAGAGCAGCUAAUACCGCAUACGACCUGAGGGUGAAAGCGGGGGAUCGCAAGACCUCGGGCGAUUGGAGCUGCCGAGGUCGGAUUAGGUAGUUGGUGAGGUAAAGGCUCACCAAGUCGACGAUCUGUAGCCGGUCUGAGAGGACGACCAGCCACACUGGAACUGAGACACGGCCCAGACUCCUACGGGAGGCAGCAGUGGGGAAUUUUGGACAAUGGGCGCAAGCCUGAUCCAGCCAUGCCGCGUGCGGGAAGAAGGCCUUCGGGUUGUAAACCGCUUUUGUCAGGGAAGAAAAGGUUCUGGCUAAUACCUGGGAGUCAUGACGGUACCUGAAGAAUAAGCACCGGCUAACUACGUG
rnacentral:rRNA from 1 species